UACGUAGGGUGCGAGCGUUAAUCGGAAUUACUGGGCGUAAAGUGUGCGCAGGCGGCAAAACAAGUCGAGUGUGAAAGCCCCGGGCUUAACUUGGGAAUUGCGCUCGAAACUACUUUGCUGGAGUGUGGCAGAGGAAGGUGGAAUUCCACGUGUAGCGGUGAAAUGCGUAGAGAUGUGGAGGAACACCAAUGGCGAAGGCAGCCUUCUGGGCCAACACUGACGCUCAUGCACGAAAGCGUGGGGAGCAAACAGG
rnacentral:rRNA from 1 species